UACGUAGGUGACGAGCGUUGUCCGGAUUUACUGGGCGUAAAGGGAGCGUAGGCGGAUUUUUAAGUGAGAUGUGAAAUACUCGGGCUCAACUUGAGUGCUGCAUUUCAAACUGGAAGUCUAGAGUGCAGGAGAGGAGAAUGGAAUUCCUAGUGUAGCGGUGAAAUGCGUAGAGAUUAGGAAGAACACCAGUGGCGAAGGCGAUUCUCUGGACUGUAACUGACGCUGAGGCUCGAAAGCGUGGGGAGCAAACAGG
rnacentral:rRNA from 1 species